GCCAAGUCUAAAUACAACAAGACAGUUCUAUUCUUGAUAAGACAGGGACCACAAAUCUGUUAAGUCCAGACUAGUGUUGACCUCAAGCAUCAUCCCUGCACUGAUCCCUCCAGGAGUCAGCAAGAAAGGUC
rnacentral:lncRNA from 1 species